rnacentral:lncRNA from 10 species
CAAAAUGAUAAUGUUCCUUGAACUCAUCAGAGGACUGACAUCACAGGGCAACUAAGCAACUAGAAUUCCAAAGAAGGACAAGCCCCUCCAAAGACAGGAAGCAUGAGGGCAGGCUCAUCAGUGUCAGAGCAGGGGAGACCAGCACAGACACCUUACAAGCAGAAUGACCUUCUGUGGCUACAGAGAAAGGCUUCAGGCAAAGAGAUGCAGCUCUGGGCCCCAGAGUCCGCUGGAGCACACUGAAGCUGGAGCACACUGAAGUGGAAGAUGGGGCUGCAGACAGAGACUGGGCAGCCUCUGCUCCAGGGAGGCCCGAGAGCCAGAGAGCAGAUUCCAUAAGAAGAAUAACUCCCAUUCCUCAUGCAUGAGACCCUCUGCUAAAUGCUUCCUGUGCACCACCUCCAGAAAUCCUCCCAAGCCAGGACACCAGCAGUAUUACAGGUAAGAAAAUGGAGGCUCCCAGAGAUUUGACAACCUGCCCGCAGCAAUGACCAAAUCAGACUUGGUGCUAAGUCUGCACCUCCCCAAAGUCAGUGUGUUUGUAUGCUCUGCUGCCACUGCCCCCCGCUGGCCCUGCACAUGAUGUGAACCAUCAGGCAGACCUGGAGUUCUGUCUCCUGGGUGGGCUGCUUGCCAACACCAGGGUGGCUGGCCCCUGCCUGUGUCAGGUCCUGCAGUGUUGACUCUCUUCGUGUGAUGUUGGGCAGGUGGAGCUGGUUGUGCUGAGCCUGAGGAAACAUCCAAUGUGCCAAACUUUCUUGUGUGUUUCCCUCUGCUGGUUAUUUAGUAAGCCCAGGAAAAGAGCAAAUCCUGCCCCCAACAGAUGAUCCUCUCGAUGAGAGUGGUUAUGGUGAUGAUGCCAGCAUGCAGUGGGGAGAUUCGACUUUUCGAGAUUCUUCCAGCCCUUUGCUUCCCACAUUUCAUAAUGCUUGAUGGCAACAGCUCUGCUGACUGUUUGGGAAAAAGACAAUACUUAUGUCCCUUUUAGAGACACUUUACUCAGUCCCUCCCGCAAUGCUUAGUACGCAGAGAAAAUAGUAAAAUUAACCCGAUUUGCUCAUCACUCAGUUUUGGCCGUUAUCAACUAAUGGCCACUCUAGUUUCUACUGGGGUCCCAUAUACUCUGCCUGUCCCCUGAUUAUUUAGGUGCUAAUCCCAACAUUGUAUCCUUUUGAUGCGUUCCAAAGCAAAAAUAUUGAUUCCUAAGCUACCCUUGUGAAUUUUCUGAUUCAGGAGGUCAGGAAUGGGGCCUGGGAAUCUACACGUAUUUUCGAUUCUCCAGGUCUGGGAACCUACAGUAUAAAGGAAUGAGCAUGGACUUUAAGAAAGUCUGAGUUUGAGUCUUGGUUUUGCCCAAGCCUUAUAACUUUGGACGAAAACUUUAAGUUUUUGGACCUUGACCUCUUUGUCUUGAAGGAUCACCAACUCUGUGAACUUGUGGUCCACUAAGACCCUCCAACAUUUUUC